rnacentral:lncRNA from 1 species
GUGAUUCAAAUGAGUCAGGGUGGAGCCAGUGAUUGAAUUGAGUCAUGGUGGAGCAGGUAAUCGAAAAAGGUUGCUUUAUGAGGAAGUUAAGUUUAAAAGUACAAGGCAAAGAUUUGAACAUACUGACAUAUUGAUUCUUUGAAAUGAAAUUUAGAACUCAUAUCUGACAUUACCCAAUCCACUCCCGACAUUAGAAAAAGCUCCAAAAGUUAUAUUCUGGCCCUCAAACUCCACAACAGGACUUAAUUAAACUUGCCUUCAAGGUAUACAAUAAUAGAGAAGAGGCAGUGAAGCGGCAACAUAUUUCUGAGUUGAAAUUACUUGCCUCCGCUGUGAGAGAAACCCCAGCCACAUCUCCAGCACACAAGAACUUCAGAAUGCCUAAACCGCAGCAGCCAGGUGUUCCUCCAGGGCCUCCUCCCCCAGGAUCUUGCUUCAAGUGCCAGAAAUCUGGCCACUAGGCCAAGGAAUGCCUGCAGCCCAUGAUUCUUCCUAAGUCGUGUCCCAUCUGGGCGGGACGCCACUGGAAAUUGGAUGGUCCAACUUGUCUGGCAGCCACUCCCAGAGCCCCUGGAACUCUGGCCCAAGGCUCUCUGAUUGACUCCUUCCCAGAUCUUCUUGGCUUAGCAGCUGAAGACUGAUGCAGCCCAAUUGCCUUGGAAGCACCCUGGACCACUAUAGAUGCUUCAGUGGAGGACACAAGUAACAGAGAGGGGGUCAUAUCUAGCCUUCCUUGCUCCCCAGGGUACUCCUGCAGAAGAGGCUGCAUCUCUGCCCAUUGAGCACCCACCAGCAUGGGCUGCAAGUGGAAGCUUCUCCCACUUCUUCAGUGGCCGCAACCCCACCAAAGGUGAGGAUGUGCUGGAGGAGGGAGCUUUUUGCACUUCUCUGUUGCUCUGGCCCUCACUGAGGAUGAGCACUCACAGAAUAAGAGCCUACCCACUGGCUCUUACUCUUAAGCGCUAUCUACUGGACUAAUUAAUGAAUUACACCACCAAACAAAAGUGUAACACUGCAAUAAGCAACAUCUGAAAAAGCCACCAAAUGGACCUAUCUGCAACUGAGGAACCCAUACAGAGACUUCGCCCUCUGAAAACAUCCAGAAAUGAAGACAACUGAUCAUACGCAACAUAAAUCACACUCAUACUUUCAAGGAAAAGAAUAAUAAAAGAAAAGCCUCAUCCAAUGAUAUUCAAAAAAAUAAAAAAAGAAGCAGCAGAUCCUUCAGAUAAGAACCAGCACAAGAAUUCCAGCAAUACAAAAAGCCAGUGUUUCGUCACACCCAAAGGCGCCUAAGAAUCCUAACCAGAAUGAAAUGCCUGAAAUGACAGAUGUAGAAUUCAGAAUAUGGCUGACAAGAAAACUCAACAAGAUCUAACAGAAAGUUGAUAUCUAACAAAAAGAAAAUAGAAAAAAAUAAUCCAGGAUUUGAAAUAUGAUAUAGCUAUACUAAAACAAACAAACAAAACAGAAUUUCUGGAAUUGGAAAAUUUACUAUAGGAAUUUCAAAAUAAAAAUUGGAAGCCUUACCAACAGACUAGAUAAAGCAGAAGAAUUUCAAAGAUCAAAUACUGGUCCUUCAAAUCAACCCAGUGAAACAAAAAUAAAGAAAAAAAUAAUUUUAGAAAAUGAACAAAGCCUUUAGGAAGUAGAGGAUUAUGUAAAGUGACAAAAUCUACAACAUAUUGGCAUUCCUGAAGAGAAGAAGAGAAAGUAACUUGGAAAACAUGCUUGAGGAUGUAAUUCAGUAACAUUUCAUCAAGUCCUCGAAAGCAAACGCAACAAAAACAAAAGUUGACAAUUGGGAUCUAACUAAAGAACUUCUGCAGAGCAACAGAGACUAUCAACAGCAUAAACUGACAACCUACAGAAUGGGAGAAAAUACUUGCAAAUUCUGCCUCUGACAAAGGACUAAUAUCCAGAAGCUAUAGGGAACUUAAACCAAUCAACAACAAAAACCCAUUAAAAGUAGGCAAAGGACAUGAACAGACACUGCUCAAAAGAAGACAUACAAGUGGCCAAAAAGCAUGAAAAAACACUUAACGUCAUAAAUUAUCAGAGAGAGGCAAAUCAAAACCACAAUGAGAUGCUAUCUCACACCAGUGGGAAUGGCAUCACUAAAAAGUCAAAAAACAACAGACAUUAGUGAGGGUGCAAAGAAAAGGGAACAUUUAUACACUGUUGGUGGGAAUGCUAAUUAGUUUAGUCCCUGUGGAAAGUAGGAGAUUUCUCAAAGAACCAAAAAUAGAAUUACCAUUCAACCCAGAAAUCCAAUUACUGGGUACAUACCAAAAGGAAAAUAAAUAAUUCUACCAAAAAGACAAAUGCUCUCACAUGUUUAUCACAGCACUGUUUCACAAUUCCAAAGACAUGGAAUCAACCUAGGUACCCAUCACUGGUGGACUGGGUAAAGAAAAUAUGGUACAUAUACACCAUGGAAUACUACACAGCCAUGAAAAAGAAUGAAAUAAUGUCAUUUGCAGCAACAUAGAUGCAGCUGGAGGGCAUUAUCCUAAGUGAAUUAAUGCAAAACAGAAAAUCAAACACUGCAUUUUCUCCCUUGGAUGAGAUUUGCAUAUUUGGCCAUCAUUAAGCAAGCUCACUAACAACCUAGGGAAAGUCAUUGCAAGCCAGUAUUCAAUGGGAGUACCAUGGUUGACAGUGUCAUGAUUAAAAAUGUAACCAUAAUUAAAUAGUACUAGAGAAAUGUAGAUGCAAGAAAAUCUACAUUAAGUAUACCUUCCAAAGAGCAAUAGCAUUGCAAAGUAAUAACAGUGUUGUACCAUUUCCUUGUGUUGAAGCAUAUGAAAUAUCCAGGCAUGGCAUAUUUGAAAUUAAACAUAAGUGGAAUAUAUUACAAUAAAGAAAACAAAGAGGUGGCUCCUGGACCUCAACAGAAAGAGAUGCUGUUGUGAAAUUAUGCAGACACUUCAUGUGCAUAGAUUACAAAAGAAAUAGUACAUAUGCACCUUUCCUCUACUCAUUAUCUAAUUUUUCAUAGAUAAAUAAAUCACUGUAUCACCCAUAAGCCCAUGAAUGGUAUAAUACAUUUUUGUUUUAGUCAGUCAAAAUUAAUUUAGCUGUAAUUAUGUUUAUCAUAUGUAUACGUUCCAAACUUUUAUGCUCUGCUUCCUCUUAAAUGCUUUGCCACAUAGAAAUUUAUUCUGCCAGAUACCCUAAAUAAUCUCUCUCAGGUUCAAAGUAACACAGAUCUCUAGGGCAAGGGCAAAAUGCUACCAGUCUCUUUGCAUAGCAAGAGUGACCUUUACUCCAGUUUCCAAUAAGUUAUUCAUUUCCAUCUGAGACCACCUCAGCCUGGACUUCAUUGUCCAUAUCACUAUCAGCAUUUUGAUCAGAGCUAUUCAACAAGUCUCUAGGAAGUUCCAAACAUUCCCACAUCUUCUUGUCUUCUGAGCCCUCCAAGUCUCUAGGAAGGUCCAAGCUUUCCCACAUUUUCCUGUCUUCUUCUGAAAGACAGAAGCCCUCCAAAUUGUUCCAACCUUUGUCUGUUAUCCAGUUCCAAAGUCGCUUCCACAUUUUGUGUAUCCUUACAGCAACACCCACUGUCUCCUAGUACCUGUUUACUGUAUUAGUCCAUUCUCAUGCUUCUAUAAAGAACUGCCUGAGACUGGGUAAUUUACAAAGGAAAGAGGUUUAAUUGACUAACAGCUCCACAGGGGUGGGGAGGCCUCAGUAAACUUACAAUCAUGGAGGAAAGGGAAGCAAACACAUCCUUCUUCAAAUAGCAGCAGGAAGGAGAAGUACCAAGCAAAGGGGAAAAAGCUCCAUAUAAAACCGUCAGAUUUCAUGAGAACUCACUCACUAUCAUGAGAACAGCAUGGGGGUCACUGCCCCCAUGAUUCAGUUACCUCCCACUGGGUCACUCCCAUGACAUGUUGGGAUUAUGGGAACUAAAAUUCAAGAUGAGAUUUGGGUGGGGACACCGCCAAAUCAUAUCAAUGUGCGAAUGGUGGAAAAGUAGAGGAACAAUUCAUGAAAAAGUCCAAGUUAUAUUCUGAAGAGGGAGUACUGUGUAUGCUUACAUUAGAAUAAGUAGUACAAACUCUAACUGAAUUUAAAUAUCUUGAUGUGGUCUGGAGCAGUUAGUGAAAGUCUCAGGAGACAGUAGAAGUCUCAAGAAAGGGUAUUAUAUAACAUUUAAAAAAUUAUGUUUCUGAAUAUCUACAAAGAUUAUUUUAUUAAUGGAAUUUGGCCUUCUGGGUAUCUUUGUUAUUCCUUAUGCUUCAUAAAUUCUCUAUCAUAUUUGAUAGUUUUGUUCAAUCCCACCACUAAAAGUUUAUCUCCUAGCUUUAGUAACGGUGUAUUAUUUUGUACUUCUCCUUCUUUGGCAUCUAUCAUCCUAGUUUUCAGAUCUAACCUGUAAGAGUUCUGUUUCUAUUUUGGUUUUCUUCUUUAUUCAUUUCUCGCUUCAGUAAUCUCAUCCUUUCUUUCUUUCUGAUGAUCAUCACUUCCAGGCAGAUGACUACUGUGUGUAUAUUUAUUUACUUAUUGUUUUGUUUGUGAUAUAAUUUGGAUCUGUGUCCCCACCCACAUCUCAUGUUUGAUUGUAAUUCUCAAUGUUGUAGGUGGGGGCUGGUAGGAGGUGAUUGGAUCAUGGGGGCAAACUUCUCAUGAUCAGUUUAGUACCAUACCUCUUGGUACUGUCCUCAUGAUAGUGAGUGAGUUCUCAUGAGAUCUGGUCAUUUAAAAAGUAUGUAGCUCCUCCUCCUCACUCUCUUGCUCCUGCUUUCACCAUGUGGUAUGCUUGCUCUUGCUUCGCCUUCCACCAUGAGUAAAAACUCCCUGAGGUUUCCCCAAGAAGAUGCUGGUGCCAUGAUUCCUGUACAGCCUCCACAGCUAAAAGCCAAUUAAACCUAUUUUCUUUAUAAAUUACCCAGUCAGAUUUUUUUAUAACUCUGAGAGAAUGGACUAACACAGUUUGUUGGGUAAUUUUUGUUGUUGUUUUUAAUUUUUUUCUUAAAAUUUUAUUUUUUUUAAAGUUCAAUAGUUUUAGGGACAAGAGUGGUUUUUGGUUACAUAGAUGAAUUGUAUAAGUGAGAGCAUGAGGUAUCUGGUUUUUGAUUCCUGAGUUACUUCACCUAAAAUAAUGACCUCCAGUUCCAUUCAAGUUGCUGCAGAUGACAUUAUUUCAUUCUUUUUUAUGGCUGAGUAGUAUCCCAU